rnacentral:rRNA from 1 species
UUUGAUCCUGGCUCAGGAUGAACGCUAGCGGCAGGCCUAAUACAUGCAAGUCGAACGGUAAAUAUCCUUUCGGGGAUAUGAGAGUGGCGCACGGGUGCGUAACGCGUAUGCAACCUACCCAAUGCUGGCGGAUAGCCCGGAGAAAUUCGGAUUAAGCCGUCAUGAGGAGCUUGAGGGGCAUCCUUUAGGUUUCAAAUAUUUAUAGGCGUUGGAUGGGCAUGCGUGCUAUUAGAUAGUUGGCGGGGUAACGGCCCACCAAGUCGACGAUAGCUAGGGGAUCUGAGAGGACGGUCCCCCACACUGGUACUGAGACACGGACCAGACUCCUACGGGAGGCAGCAGUAAGGAAUAUUGGGCAAUGGAGGGAACUCUGACCCAGCCAUGCCGCGUGAAGGAAGAAGGCCCUACGGGUCGUAAACUUCUUUUGUCAAGGGAUAAUUCAUGGUACGUGUACCAUGUUGAAGGUACUUGAAGAAUAAGCAUCGGCUAACUCCGUGCCAGCAGCCGCGGUAAUACGGAGGAUGCGAGCGUUAUCCGGAUUUAUUGGGUUUAAAGGGUGCGUAGGCGGAUUGUUAAGUCAGAGGUGAAAGUUCCCGGCUCAACCGGGUCAGUGCCUUUGAUACUGGCGGUCUUGAAUACGGUCAAAGCAGGCGGAAUGUGGUGUGUAGCGGUGAAAUGCAUAGAUAUGCCACAGAACUCCGAUAGCGAAGGCAGCUUGCUGGGCCUGUAUUGACGCUGAGGCACGAAAGCGUGGGGAUCAAACAGGAUUAGAUACCCUGGUAGUCCACGCUGUAAACGACGGACAAUGGUUGUCGGCGAUAGACAGUCGGCGGCUAAGCGAAAGUGAUAAGGUCCCACCUGGAGA